rnacentral:misc_RNA from 1 species
CUUUAGAGCGGCAAACUGAA